ACAUCCAUUCUUUAAUGCAGUAAUUUCAAAGUUACUACCUUUAUUCUCUAUCUCUCUCUCUUUUUAAUUAUAAUAACAUAAUAACAAUUAUUAUUACUAUUACUACCACUUUGCAGUCAUUUAUAUUAGCAUGCUUAAGUAAUGUAAUGACAAUCGAAACAUCAUCUCGUCUGCUUUAUAUUAGCAGUCACACACAGGUAGAAAUUCAAUUAUCCUGUGUUUUUUUUUUUUUUUUUGUAUGAAGAUAAUUUAAUGUUUGGUUGACGAAUUUUUCUCUAUUGGUAAAAGCAGAUCCUUAUCAUUCUGAAAGAAAUGGGCUAUAUAUUGGCAAAGGAAAAGCAAUGUUGUCAAGGUCUAGAAUCUUCCGUGUGCAGCAAGGGGUUGCUGUGGAUAUGUGUGAAAGAGUAUUCAAACUCCCUUCAUUUUAUGUCUUCCCUGGCAGGGAUUAAAAGCAGGUACGAAAAAACAGAAAUACGACAAGAUCAGUGAAAAGAAGAUGCUUACUCCUAUAGAGCAACCAAGUGGGAAACCAGUUCUAAAUCCUGGGCCAUCUGCAAAGAGAAUAGAGAGACCUUCAGGCUCCCGACUCUCUCUGCUUAACAGAAGCUGCUGGAGCACACCACACCGGUGGAGCACUCUCUCCAUUCCAUUAAGUUGUUGGAGCAUGUUGGUACGAGUCACAGCAGUGCGAGUCAUGGUGCUCUGUCUUCCUCACACAAGUCACAUCAGUAUCUCCUCUGCUGGAAGGAAGAACCCAGGCAAGAACAUCUCUGUGAGGUAUUUUUUAUGGAGAUUUCAAUUUAGUAUCACAUAAUCAAU